ensembl:lncRNA
UUUGGAACUAGAAGCCACCCUAGAUGGUCUAUCCGGGCUCCUCAGCUGUGAAGAGAAUAGAGGACCAGGGAGGCCAGCAAAUUCCUUACGGUCAGGCGCUUCACAGGAGAACAAAAGAGCUUCCCUCAUUCAGUAGAUGUGUUUGCUUCUGCUGCAGAGGGAUUCCAGCCUGACUGGGGUAUCUGUACCUUAAGGCAACAGAAGAAAAACAAGAGAGUCAAGCACAACCCAGAGAUCCAGUGCCAAAUGAAUCAGUAUGUAAAUUAUCUGCAGUGACGACUCACCUCAAGACAAGCCCAAAGAUCCCCCUGCAGGGAUCUUCCACACCCAGGGACUGAACCUACGUCUCUUACAUCUCCUGCAUUAGCAGCAAAGUAAACAGGAACCGUUAAAGACGAACCUAGUGCUUCUCAAGGGUUACUUCACUGACUCAAUCCAACUUGCAAGUGUGCUGGCCUUUUUCCUUUUAAGGACAGUGAAGUCCUGUCUACGAAGACCAUGGUGUCAUGCACAGGGAAGCCGCAGCCAGGAAGAGGAAAAUCAUCCCCUGACCAGGUUCAAUAUUGCCCCCAUCAGGAGCAUCUUGGUAAUGGAAAGUUGCAAUGACUUGUCCAGCCGUUAAAAGAGCAGGAGUUAUCUGUUUUGUAUAUUAAAAAAAAGACUUACUGUGUAUAGCACAGAAACUCUAUUCCAUACUCUCGAAUGACCUAUAUGGGAAAAGAAUAAAAAAAAAUGUAUAUACGUAUACGUAUAACUGAUUCCCUUUGUUGUACAGCAGAUGCUGACACAACAGUGUAAAUCAACUCUACUCCCAUAAAAAAUUUUUCAUAGGUUAUAUUAGCUAAUAGUGUAAUCUCUUAAUGAGGAAAUGGUUGCUAUAAACUAAAAAUAAAUGAGCUUUAUUUUCAGGACCAAAAUAAAUAAAUAAAUAAAUAAAUAAAUAAAUAAAGAGCAGGGGUGCAAUCAGGCCAGAGAAAGAGCUUUGACUUUCAUAAACCAACAGACAGCAAAUGUAGGAGAGAAAUUGUUAUUUUCUAUCAAAACUGGAGGCCCAAAUAAACCCUCACUGAUUUAAUGUGCAGAUUCUGCUACAACGGUUGCCAGCCACAGGGGUUUUCCAACUGUCUCAUGAUUCUUGGGCAACCUUGCCUUUUCGUUUGGCUCUUAGUUGAGCAGGCUGUAGGCUUUCUUGUUUAAAUUAGGGAAACUCCCCUCUCCUGGGCACUGGUUGGUGGGAGAACUCCCGGACUUAGGAAGAGGAGCUGCUGUAUUUGACUCUAAAUGACCCUGAGACUUUGGAACCUUUUGGAUAGCACAGUUGCUUACUCUUUUUUUUAUCAAUCUGAAAACCCAGUCAAGUGAUACAUUUCCAAUCCCCUGACUGUCUCAUGACCAGCUUGUAGGUAUUAGGUCAAACAGUCCAGAAGGACUGUCAUAAAGAUGUUGAUUGGACUCUGUCUCAGGAAAAGUUUACUGUGUCCUGGCAACCUUUAUGCUCACAUCACCAACUCUGCGAGGUCAAAGGUAUUAUGUAGAAUCAUAAUGUACUUAAAACUAAAUCAUGAACUGGGUUAUGAGUAGUCUGCUUGUCCCUGGUCUAUCAGAGAGAAUGGCAAAUGGCCCAGCUAUGUAUGCAUUUCCCCAAAGUUAAGACAGUAGAAAUGAGAAAAGAGUUAGUCAAGGAAGAGAAAGCUUCUACAAAAGCCAAGUCAAUACCAAAGAAGCUGUCUAUCUCUCUACAGUUAUCACAUGUGCCCAAACAUUCAGCUAGGUUGAUCUGGAGCAAAAUAAAGACAAAUAGUUAUAUAUGUAGUUUGUUCUAAUAUAAAUGUCACUGUUACAGGGCACAAACUCUCUAGGAGAAUACUUCUGUUUCUAUUUUAUUUUAUUUUUUUAUUAUUAUUUUUAAAUUUUUAAAUUUUACUUUACAAUACUCUGUUGGUUUUGCCAUACAUUGACAUGAAUCCACCACAGGUGUACAUGAGUUCCCAGUCCUGAAACCCCCUCUCACCUCCCUCCCCAUUUCAUCUCUCUGGGUCAUCCCAGUGCACCAGCCCCAAGCAUCCUGUUUCUAUUAAUCACACUUUCUUUCGAGAUGAUAACUAAAUGUAAGUGAUGUCAUUCUACUGCAGCUUUUGCUUUACAAAUAGGCUUUGAGCAUUUAAUUAUAUAUGAUGGAUGUUAAUACUUCUCUGUUGUAUGUGAGAAAGGUUAUUAUAGUACACAAUGUAGUAAAAUAUUUGUUUUAUGGAAAGAGAGAAAUACUCAAUCAUUUUUAUUUACAUUCCUGGGCAACUUGGGUCAUUCUGCCCCAAGAAGUUCUAUUUUCUAAAGAAUAGUCUAUGGGGUGACUUCCUCAUAGAUUCAGGUUACAGCAUGAAACACAUACAACCAGGAAACUUUUGCUAUGGCAUAGUACCUUAGUUUUCUAGAACAGGACAAAAGACAGUUAUAAUAAAUAAAUGUUAAUAAAACUCUGAUUUACUAUAUUAUUUUUAAAGACCUCUGUGAGUUUGAGAUAAUUAGCCCAAUUGUUAUGCCCUGAUAUGGUAUGAAGAACAAAAAGGAAUCUGCUAGUGAUAUAGUUUUAAGUGCAAUUUUAAAACAAAACAUGUAAGACACUAUUUUUCUUAUGAUCAAGGAAAGACAAAAUACCAAGUUGUCUUUAGGAAUAUGUGUUGGUAUGAAUGCAUUUAUUUCAAUUAAAGAGAGAAAUGAUACAUAAAAAAUAGUGAUAGAAGAUUAAAUGAUAUCUUAAAUACAGGUAAAGAAAGAGGUCUUUCUCCCUGUCUCUUUUAUUUUUUUGAGCCAAUAGGGGAGAAAUUAAAGUGGCCAGCAGGGGGCGUCUUUUUGUUUUCUCCUUUAAGCACUAAACCGAAAAUAUGUUUGAGUCUUGAGUUUUAUACACAGGGAAUAAAGUCUAAACAAAACAUGUUUUUCUUCUCUUUAUUGUCCUUUCUUACUUCCCUUCUCGCCACUAUUCUUUCUCAAGACCUGUAAAAUGUGAUUCACGAUGUUUAGGUUGACCACUGCUGGCUCUGCAUCCACCCCGAUACCCAAUUAAAAUUUUAUUUUUGAAAACUUCCUGGCAGGCUGGGAGAUUUGGAUGAUAAGAUUCGGCUUCCAAGGAGAUAUAAAUUAAAAUUAAAUUAAGAGCAAAGGAGUAUAGUCUGGUUUGAUGAUUUAAAUGAUAGUUAGAGAAACUAGUUUCACCCUGAACCAUUUGGGAAGGACUUUCUGAAAUGAUGGGCUUGAAUAAUAGUAUAAAAGUUAAUGAAUGGCCAUGUAAUGUGACAUUUUAAAAGAGUAUUAUGUUUUCUCAGGAACUUGAGAGUGUGUGAAAGGCCUCCAGAACUAAUAAGCAGAUUCUGAUCCAUUUAGGAACAUAGCUCCAAACCAUCUUCCCAUCCUGUUUGCUUUGCAUAAAGUUUUGCUUGUUUUUUACCUUCUUUGGGAGGCCCAUUUCAUAAAUGUAGGCUCAAUAACUUCACUGAUAGUAUAUAACAAUAUACCAGAGAGAGAACUGGAGGGAAAACUGUGGCAUUUUUGUGUUAUCCAAGUGAAAUCUCAAGAUAAAUUGAAACUGACCUCUUAUAAUUUUUCAAAUAACCAUUGGGUCCUGACAGAGGAGGCAAGCAAGAUAUCUAUAAGGACUUUGAAGUCAGUAAUUUCAGGUUCAAUACCCACUGAACAAAAUUAUGUUAGGAUUUUGUUUAACCCUAAGAAAAUGAAACUUCAAUUGUCAAGGUAAUACAGGAAAUACAGAACAUUUAUGUCAUAUUUCCCAGACUAGGACUUGGGUUUCUGAAACCUCAGGAUGAGCCUACAGCUUCUUUCUGUUGUACUGAAUUACAUGGGGAUUUGGAAAAAAGAAGAUAAGUAAUUUAACUGUUAGAAGAUUUCAGACACUUUUAUUCUAACCUAACAAUACUAUGAUAUGUAGUGUGAUAUAAAAUUUAAAUGAUUUGUCUAAGAUAAAGUAUGAAUCUUCAAGAAGUUUUGAACUUGCAGUCAGUUCAGUUCAGUCACUCAGUCGUGUCCGACUCUUUGCCACCCCAUGGACUGCAGCAUGCCAGGCUUCCCUGUCCAUCACCAACUCCUGGAGCUUCUCAAACUCAUGUCCAUCAUGUCAGUGAUAUCAUCCAACCAGCUCAUCCUCUGCUCCCCUUCUCUUCCCAUCUUCAAUCUUUCCAGCAUCAGAGUCUUUUCAAAUGAGUCAGUUCUUUGUAUCAGGUGGCAAAAGUUUUGGAGUUUCAGCUUCAGCAUCAGUCCUUCCAACGAAUAUUAAGGAUUGAUUUCCUUUAGGACUGACUGGUUGGAUCUCCUUGCUGUCCAAAGGACUCUCAAGAGUCUUCUCCAACACCACAGUUCAAAAGCAUCAAUUCUUCAGCACUCAGUUUUCUUUAUAGUCCAACUCGCACAUCCAUACAUGACCACUGGAAAAACCAAAGCUUUGACAAGACAGUCCUUUGUCAGACAAGUAAUGUCUCUGAUUUAUAAUAUGCUAUCUAGGUUGGUCAUAACUUUUCUUCCAAGGAGUAAGCGUCUUUUAAUUUCAUGGCUGCAGUUACCAUCUGCAGUGAUUUUGGAGCCCCCCAAAAUAAAGUCUGUCACUGUUUCCAUUAUUUUCCCAUCUAUUUGCCAUGAAGUGAUGGGACCAGAUACCAUGAUCUUAGUUUUCUGAAUGUUGAGUUUUAAGCCAGCUUUUUCACUCUCCUCUUUCAUUUUCAUCAAGAGGCUCUUUAGUUCUUCUUCUGCCAUAAGGGUGGUGUCAUUUUCAUAUCUGAGGUUAUUGGUAUUUCACCCAGCAGUCUUGAUUCCAGCUUGUGGCAUUUUGCAUGAUGUACUCUGCAUAUAAGUUAAAUAAGCAGAGUGGCAAUAUACAGCCUUGACAUACUCCUUUCCCAAUUUGGAACCAGUCUGUUGUUUCAUGUCCAGUUCUAACUGUUGCUUCUUGACCUGCAUACAGAUUUUUCAGGAGGCAAGUAAGGUGGUCUAGUUUUCCCAUCUCUUGAAGAAUUUUCCACAGUUUGUUGUGAUCCACAUAGUCAUAAGCUUUGGCUUAGUCAAUAAAGCAAAAGUAGAUGCUUUUUCUGGAACUCUCUUGCUUUUUUGAUGAUCCAACAGAUGUUGGCAAUUUGGUCUCUGGUUCCUCUACCUUUUCUAAAUCCAGCUUGAACAUCUGGACAUUCACGCUCUUGCACUGUUGAAGCCUGGCUUGGUGAAUUUUGAUCAUUACUUUGCUAGUGUGUGAGAUGAGUACAGUUGUGAGGUAGUCUGAACUUUCUUUGGCAUUGCCUUUCUUUGGAAUUGGAAUGAAAACUGACUUUUUCCAAUCCUGUGGCCACUGCUGAAUUUUUCAGAUUUGCUGUCAUAUUGAGUGCAGCACUUUCAUAGCAUCAUCUUUUAGGAUUUGAAAUAGCUCAACUGGAAUUCCAUCACCUCCACUAGCUUUGUUCGUAGUGAUGCUUCCUAAAGCCCACUUGAC